AUCCUUUUUUAGUUCAUAAGCAUGAUGAUUGGGUAUUGACCCGCCUGCGUGACAUGUGCUACCCUCAAACCUUGUUACACACAGGCACAUUACCCAUCUGACG